CUGGAGGAAAACAUAUGUUUCUAUUUUGCUGGUAUUUUCAAAAGUAUUAACAUAGAUGUAUAUAUUUAUAUUGUCUUCUAAUCUGAGAUGGUAAAUAUUUUUCUCUUCCUUCUUUUUUCUUAGAUAAAAUGUUAAAGGGUUAUCCUUUAUUGGGUGAUUUGCCUUCUCCCACCCUGCCCAAGAAUUAGCACUUUGCAUUUUCGCUUUUUUUCAUACAAUAUUUGUUCAUAUCAUUAACUCCCUCAUAUUUAUGUACAUAAAUUAUUGGUGUUUUUUCUAUUGUCUUAAAUAUAAGGCUGAGCUCCUUUACAUUUUUUUCAUUUAAUAUGUCUGUAAUUUAAAGCUAAGCAUCUCAUAUCAGUUUCUGCAGCCUCUCUCAAGUUUUGCUAUGUAGUGUUCUCACUGUUAAUAUGUUCUAAAUCAUCUGCAAGUCUACCUUUUACAUCCUCCUUGACCCAAAGUGAUUCCCUCUAUCUACUGCUUCCACACAUUUCAAGAUAUUCCCAUCACUGGAGUUAUUCACAGUUGAAUGAAAUGACAGUGAAAAGACUGAUGGAUUGAUUUUUCAUGCUAGAUAUCUAAAGUUUAUUUGGUGAGAGAUGCCAAUCAAUAAUUUUGGCUCAUUCUUUAGAUGGGGUCAACCAAGCCAUUACUGAUGAUUUCCAUCAAAGUUGCUCAGUUCACUGAGGGGGGUUUCCCAUGAGUCUUCGGCUCUUCAGCUCUUCAGCACUCAUUGUGCCAGUAAUGCUCUUGGAACAAUUUUUUGUUGUUAAGAGACAGAGUCUUGUUCUGUCACCCAGGCUGGAAUGCAGUAGCAUGAUUAUAGCUUACUAAAGCCUUGAAUUCCUGGGCUCAAGCGAUCCUCCCGCCUCAGCCUCCCAAGGAGCUGGAACUACAGGCAUGUGCCACCCCACCAGGCUAAUUUUUUUUUUUUAACUUUUUUUGUAGAGACAGGGUCUUGUUUUAUUUCCCAAGCUGGUCUCAAACUCCUAGCCUCAAGUGAUCCUUCUGCCUUGGCCUCCCACAGCACUGGGAUUACAGGCAUGAGCCACCACACUAGGCUUGGAACAAUUCUUAAGUUCACUCUGACCUCUCCCUUUCUUAUCACUUCAUGGGAGUUUAGUUAGUGCUCACUUGGGAGGCCAAGGCAGGAGGGCAGAUCACCUGAGGUCAGGAGUUUGAGACCAGCCUGGCCAACAUGGCAAAACCCCAUCUCUACUAAAAACACAAAA
rnacentral:lncRNA from 1 species